GUACACUCCUACGGGAGGCAGCAGUGGGGAAUUUUGGACAAUGGGGGCAACCCUGAUCCAGCAAUGCCGCGUGAGUGAAGAAGGCCUUCGGGUUGUAAAGCUCUUUUGUCAGGGAAGAAACGGUGGUGGCGAAUAACUACUACUAAUGACGGUACCUGAAGAAUAAGCACCGGCUAACUACGUGCCAGCAGCCGCGGUAAUACGUAGGGUGCAAGCGUUAAUCGGAAUUACUGGGCGUAAAGCGUGCGCAGGCGGUUGUGUAAGUCAGAUGUGAAAUCCCCGGGCUCAACCUGGGAAUUGCAUUUGAGACUGCACGGCUAGAGUGUGGCAGAGGGGGGUAGAAUUCCACGUGUAGCAGUGAAAUGCGUAGAUAUGUGGAGGAAUACCGAUGGCGAAGGCAGCCCCCUGGGAUAACACUGACGCUCAUGCACGAAAGCGUGGGGAGCAAACAGGAUUAGAAACCCGUGUAGUCCC
rnacentral:rRNA from 1 species